UACGGAGGGGGCUAGCGUUGUUCGGAAUUACUGGGCGUAAAGCGCACGUAGGCGGAUUGUUAAGUUAGGGGUGAAAUCCCAGGGCUCAACCCUGGAACUGCCUUUAAUACUGGCAAUCUCGAGUCCGAGAGAGGUGAGUGGAAUUCCGAGUGUAGAGGUGAAAUUCGUAGAUAUUCGGAGGAACACCAGUGGCGAAGGCGGCUCACUGGCUCGGUACUGACGCUGAGGUGCGAAAGCGUGGGGAGCAAACAGG
rnacentral:rRNA from 1 species